UACGUAGGGUGCAAGCGUUGUCCGGAAUUAUUGGGCGUAAAGAGCUCGUAGGCGGUUUGUCGCGUCUGCCGUGAAAGUCCGGGGCUCAACUCCGGAUCUGCGGUGGGUACGGGCAGACUAGAGUGAUGUAGGGGAGACUGGAAUUCCUGGUGUAGCGGUGAAAUGCGCAGAUAUCAGGAAGAACACCCGUGGCGAAGGCGGCUUUCUGGGACGGUACUGACGCUGAGACGCGAAAGCGUGGGGAGCGAACAGG
rnacentral:rRNA from 1 species